CACGUAGGGGGCAAGCGUUGUCCGGAUUUAUUGGGCGUAAAGAGCUCGUAGGCGGUUCGGUAAGUCGGGUGUGAAACCUCCAGGCUCAACCUGGAGACGCCACCCGAUACUGCUGUGACUUGAGUCCGGUAGGGGAGCGUGGAAUUCCUGGUGUAGCGGUGAAAUGCGCAGAUAUCAGGAGGAACACCAGCGGCGAAGGCGGCGCUCUGGGCCGGAACUGACGCUGAGGAGCGAAAGCGUGGGGAGCAAACAGG
rnacentral:rRNA from 1 species